GACGAACGCUGGCGGCGUGCUUAACACAUGCAAGUCGAACGGAAAGGCCCUGCUUUUGUGGGGUGCUCGAGUGGCGAACGGGGGAGUAACACGUGAGUAACCUGCCCUUGACUUUCGGAUAACUUCAGGAAACUGGGGCUAAUACCGGAUAGGAUCUCCUGCUGCAUUGUGGGGGUUGGAAAGUUUCGGCGGUUGGGGAUGGACUCGCGGCUUAUCAGCUUGUUGGUGGGGUAGUGGCUGACCAAGCCUUUGACGGGUAGCCCGCCUGAGAGGGUGACCGGCGACAAGAGGACUGAGAGACGGCGCAGUCGGCUAUGGGAGGCAGCAGGGGGGAGUAUGACACAGUGAGCGCACGUGUGAGGAGGAAGCGCCGGGGGCGUAAAGACCGCCUUUUGGGAGAGAACAGCUGUCGGUUGAGACGAAGCGUGAGUGACGGUAAUGGAUAAAGAAGCACCGGCUAACUACGUG
rnacentral:rRNA from 1 species